rnacentral:sRNA from 1 species
UGGCCGUGUGUCCCUGCUUGCGGCAGAGUA